rnacentral:lncRNA from 1 species
CUGGGAAGAGAGCUGACAACCUUCUGUGGUAAGGGGUGAACAUCCUUGGGAAGCCACAGAGAGCAAGGCGCAGUUUUUCAUUGAUCACCACUUUCAAGAUGCUCCCAGAAUCGUGCUGUCUAGGAAGCCAUUUAAACUGGUGAGAAGCCAUCCUCUCUUGAAUGGGGGCUCCCACUGUACAUCUGGCACCCACUUCACAGAUUCUGGGGGAUGUCAACACCAGCACUGCUGAGCUGUGUGACCUUGAGCAAGACAGUUAGCCUCUCUGAACCUCAGUGUCCUUCUCUGUAGGCUGGAGAUUGAUAUACCUUCAUUAUCGGGGUAUGAGAGUGUUAUAAGGUGGGAUGGUGGAACACGCUGACUGGUCUGGGCUAUUCAAGAUCCAUGAACUGGAAGAUGCUUUCUUAUAACUCAGAGAAAAGAGAUGAAAAUGAAUCAAAGAACAGGAAGGAGACAAGCUCAGGAGAGUCACCCUAAGAAGGAUGUGUGGAAGACUUGACUGGAGGAUCAAAAUGUGUCGGGGGAAGGUGUACAAGGAGGAGUAAGGACACAGAUGUCCUGACUUCACACAGUGGGGGAUUAGAAGCCACCAUCAAACACAGAUGAAACAGGAAUAAAAGUAGUAGUACAUUACUUAAGCUUUAAAAGGGUAAGACUCCUGGGAAUUUGGAAGCUGAGACUUGAGGAGCAGAGGCAUUUAGCUGUGUAAACACAGAGCUUCAGUGGCAGCACCCUAAAUGCUUAGCUGAUAGAUCCGGAAUUAAAUACAGACCUAGAAACUGGAGUUGGAAAACUUCCUGGCAGCACUCCUUCCCUGCCAUCCCGGUGAUCCCCUUCUGGAUGGAGGGUGUGGAGCUCAGCACAUUCACGUCUGCAGCCCUGAACUGCUUGUCUUUUGCCUUGUUAUCUUUCCUGGACUGUGAACUUCCCAAGUGAAGAGCAUUG